UGUGUGUGUAUAUACACGUCGAUGUUUACUGUUUCGAGAAGACAAAAGCAAUUUUUAAUGCGGUGUCUCCACAUGAUUGACGUGUAGCGCCGCGUUCGCACCACUUGGCGGCUCUUCAACUUUGACCUUUCUCUGUUUAUAUACGCGCGCGCGUUCGCAUUCGCGUCACGACGAAUGUGGCGGGUGCGCGUCGACCGCCGGCGGGGUUUCCUCCCUUUAUCCAUCGCUGAGAAAAGCCACCGUAUAAGAACCGAUGCGGCCACGGACGAUAUGUCAAUCCGGGAGCGAGCCUUCUUAGGCGUGACCUUUUGUUGUGCUCUGAUUGAGGCAAUUGCGGUCAAAGGAUGCCACUCGGGUGUGUGUGUGUGUGUGGUUUGUGCCCAGGAUGGGUGGAGUUUUCUUCUGAAGAAUGUGGCCCAUUUAGCGAGAAAUUAAAGAGAUGUGGGUCAAAGCAGCAGAACAAUAGUGUCUGUCUGUCCGUCUGUCUGCCGUCCCGGCGACAAUAGCGCCGAGUCAAAGACAUUCCUCCGAUGCCGUUUUAUAAAAAUCUCCUCCGAGGCAAAACGGCGUUCCCCACCCCGCACGUGACAGGCGAAAAUACGUGAACGGGAGAGAGAAAAUUUCACCGGCGACUUGACAGCAAGCGUGUGGCUGGCACGGUUGCUUUAGAGCGCCUCGUUGUUGCGGCGCGGAAAAAGCAUGCGGAGGGUUGUCGAGUGUUGAAUUUGAAAACGCUUCUUUUCGACUUGAAGCUCUGUUAGCAGCUGAGAUUGUUUUUGCUUUUGUUGUUAUUGCGAUGAUGGAGGCAUUUUCACUUCCUACCGCAGAACCGCUAGGGCGUGUGUGUGUGUGUGUGUAUCGUGUAGAGUGCGCGUGUGUUUGCAGUGGUCAUGUGAUGUGGGCCUUCCAAGCUGGUGAUGCGCAUCCUGAAAACAGCCAACAAGUUGACAUGGCGGCGCGUCGGCUCUCUCGCCCGCCCGCCCGCCCGCCCGCCCGCCUCGUUCUGAAGCCGUCUCCGUGAUGUCAAUUCGCGUCACGUGAUGAUUUUUGCAUAACAGCCGCUUCUCUUUUCCGCCGCGCGCUCUCGUCCGCCGCCGAACAACGCCGACGGACACCCGUGCGUCUGAAUGGAGGGAAACGUCCGAAAAGCCUUCGACAACCUUUGAGGCUAGCGAAGAGGCCAAGGGUGAGUCGUGUGUCUGCCAGACAAAAAUAAAACGAUGACUCGCUUGCUUUCCGGAACAGAUUUCUUGUCUUGUUUUUUUUUUCUCCUCAGACUUCUUUUCAGCGGCUCACCACUUCCAAUCGAAGGUGUGAGGAAGUGGGAAUUCCGCGGCUAACGGACUCCCUGAUAAAGGCGCAGGCACGCUCCGAACAUUUCGGGGUCCUUCAAAGAGAAUUCACCUGCCGAAACCAGUUUCACGUAGCAACAUCGCAUUUGGUGGACGUGCCUAUCAUGAGUCCACUAACAAAAAAAAAAAAAAAAAAAAAAAAAAAAAAACCCAA